rnacentral:rRNA from 1 species
GGAGCUAAUACGGAUAAUAUUCGAACCGCAUGGUUCGAUAGUGAAAGAUGGUUUUGCUAUCACUUAUAGAUGGACCUGCGCCGUAUUAGCUAGUUGGUAAGGUAACGGCUUACCAAGGCGACGAUACGUAGCCGACCUGAGAGGGUGAUCGGCCACACUGGAACUGAGACACGGUCCAGACUCCUACGGGAGGCAGCAGCA